GGAGAGGUGGCUGAGUGGCCGAAAGCGGCACGCUGCUAAUGUGUUAAGGGGUAAUACCCUUCGUGGGUUCGAAUCCCACCCUCUCCG
rfam:Candidatus Wildermuthbacteria bacterium RIFCSPLOWO2_01_FTLL_48_16 rifcsplowo2_01_scaffold_2981, whole genome shotgun sequence.